rnacentral:rRNA from 1 species
AAARKGGSWMKKSRMGCGAGGCMUAMASAGCUUGCUCUCAGAAGUUAGCGGYGGACGGGKGAGUAACACGUGGGUAACCUGCCCAUAARACUGGGAUAACUCCGGGAAAMCGGGGCUAAUACCGGAUAACAUUUUGAACYGCAUGGUUCGAAAUUGAAAGGCGGCUUCGGCUGUCMCUUAUGGAUGGACCCGCGUCGCAUUAGCUAGUUGGUGAGGUAACGGCUCACCAAGGCAACGAUGCGUAGCCGACCUGAGAGGGUGAUCGGCCACACUGGGACUGAGACACGGCCCAGACUCCUACGGGAGGCAGCAGUAGGGAAUCUUCCSCAAUGGACGAAAGUCUGACGGAGCAACGCCGCGUGAGUGAUGAAGGSUUUCGGGUCGUAAAACUCUGUUGUUAGGGAAGAACAAGUGCUAGUUGAAUAAGCUGGCACCUUGACGGUACCUAACCAGAAAGCCACGGCUAACUACGUGCCAGCAGCCGCAA